rnacentral:rRNA from 1 species
GCUCGAGUGGCGAACGGGUGAGUAACACGUGGGUGAUCUGCCCUGCACUUUGGGAUAAGCCUGGGAAACUGGGUCUAAUACCGAAUAGGACCACGGCAUUCAUGUGCUGUGGUGGAAAGCUUUUGCGGUGUGGGAUGGGCCCGCGGCCUAUCAGCUUGUUGGUGGGGUAAUGGCCUACCAAGGCGACGACGGGUAGCCGGCCUGAGAGGGUGACCGGCCACACUGGGACUGACAUACGGCCCAGACUCCUACGGGAGGCAGCAGUGGGGAAUAUUGCACAAUGGGCGCAAGCCUGAUGCAGCGACGCCGCGUGAGGGAUGACGGCCUUCGGGUUGUAAACCUCUUUCAGUACCGACGAAGCGCGAGUGACGGUAGGUACAGAAGAAGGACCGGCCAACUACGUGCCAGCAGCCGCGGUAAUACGUAGGGUCCGAGCGUUGUCCGGAAUUACUGGGCGUAAAGAGCUCGUAGGUGGUUUGUCGCGUUGUUCGUGAAAACUCACAGCUUAACUGUGGGCGUGCGGGCGAUACGGGCAGACUGGAGUACUGCAUGGGAGACUGGAAUUCCUGGUGUAGCGGUGGAAUGCGCAGAUAUCAGGAGGAACACCGGUGGCGAAGGCGGGUCUCUGGGCAGUAACUGACGCUGAGGAGCGAAAGCGUGAGGAGCGAACAGGAUUAGAUACCCUGGUAGUCCACGCCGUAGACGGUGGGUACUAGGUGUGGGUUUCCUUCCUUGGGAUCCGUGCCGUAGCUAACGCAUUAAGUACCCCGCCUGGGGAGUACGGCCGCAAGGCUAAAACUCAAAGGAAUUGACGGGGGCCCGCACAAGCAGCUGAGCAUGUGGAUUAAU